AAUGAAUCAAGAUCUAUAUGGAGAGGCACGGACAGGAUAUGGUUCCUCUGUGUUUCAACAUAUGCUGGUGUGUGGUAACAUUUAAAGUAGGAAGGUGAGUGCCACAGGUAGGGCCUUGUCAGCCUGAAAGCUCUUGUUGGGGCUGCAUACCUGGAGCCCACUGGAAGCGCUAAGCUGUGUGGCAGCUGGAAGUCUGCCCUCAGAAGAGCCUGUUCACUUCCCCGAUGGCUGUGGGAAACCUGGAUGAAAAAGGAUGUGGGAGAAGAGCCAAGGAUGCCACCAUUUUCUCAGGAGAAAGCAGAGGAGAACUGAGGAGCAUCCAUGAGGCUUGAGACUUUACCAAGUACUUUCCCACCCAUCUCAUUUGUCCCUCCUAAUGGCCCCAUACCUGACAUGAUGGUUCUCCCUACCUGACAUGAUGAGACUGAAACCGGUGAGAGCAACUUUUUGACAUGAAAAAGAAAGACAAGAAACGUUGUGUGAAAGGCAGCUCUGAGAAGACACAAUCCAUGUGUGAUUGCUUGAGCAAGAAGGGUUAAAAAAAGCAACAACAAAAAAACCUGCCUGCUUUUACUUGCUUAAAAAAAAACCCAACUCAAACCAUCUCCAAAUGUAGCUUAAUCCAUUUUCAGACUCUAUACAUUAUGCAUCAAGAUUUUGUACAAAAGGAAUUUGAGAGGAGCGUUUGCAUGAAACCACUUCAGUGGAUUAAAUUUGCAGUUCAGCAUAUUAGACUCAAAGAGUUUACAAGACAUUUUGAGAGCCCUGCCCCCUUCCCGAAUGUGCAGGGUUUCUGCUUCAGGUAAAUAUCUUUUUAAGAAUGGUUGAAUUUCAG
rnacentral:lncRNA from 1 species